UGUCGCGUCGCUAGUGGAGCCUUGCAGUUUCAAUGUUUGUGGAAUCAAAGGCCCUGUAGGGCUGGGUUACCUGUAGGAGCCUGUGCUUUUUGAAUUGUAGGCCUCCCUACUCUUUUUCAAAAGUGUUUUUCACUUCAGUUUGGAAAUUAGAAAAAACUAGAAAGAAUCCCAUUGUAUUUUUUGUUGAACAUUCUCCAGACCCAAUCCUUUGGCCAAAGAACAGGCAUGAUCAUAAAACACACUUCAUCCUCACCCGCGAGGUCCCGUGAAAGCCUCGUCUUCAAAAGCAGAGGAGAGGUCUGAGCUGUGUCCUCUAGUAGAGAGGUGGGAUAGGACGCUCUGGGUUUCUGUAAACGCAGUUGCUGAGGGUGGAGCAGCUGGCCUGGUCUCUCAGCAACCCAGGCACCUCAUGGCUGUGAAUCACAAGGGAAACGCGUGCUAGACAGGUGCUCGGUAGCUUUGUGAGGAAUAAAUAGCGCCCAGCCCUGCAGUGCGCCACAGACUCUACUCUUCCAAUAAGGAUGGAACUCGGGACCUCGAAGAUGGGUCUUAAGGAAGGAAAUUUUUCCCCACUGUUAAGCAUACUUAUAGAUUUGGGUGGUAACGUCAGCCACCAUGAUGUGAUGUGCCCAGGGGACUCACCAGUCUGAAUUGAUAGGGCUGCCUGAUCUUGGAUUUGUAGCCUCCAAAGAAGGAUUCAAUGAAUGCUGCAAAAUUAGAUGCUCAAUAAAGAAGUUACCUGCUUGUAAAUGUGGGGCACCAAGUCAGAAAAGUUGGAGGAGAGUUUGACAUCCACUAAUCACUAUCAACUGUCUUGCCCCAUUCGUUAAUGGGGACAGUUAACGUUUUA